rnacentral:misc_RNA from 1 species
UGUGGAAGUCUAUGAGAAACAUGUACAGGAAUUGUCCAAAAGUAUUGGGGAAUCUCAGAAGAACACUGAUCAGUUAUUGGAAGAAUUGCAUGAGAAGCAAAGGCAAGAAGUAAAAUUGCAAGGAGAAUUGGAGAGCUUGACAGAUUCCUUGAGAUUUGAAAAGCAAAACUUGGCAGAAGUCAAUUCUGAUCGCGAUAGACUUAGAUCAGUGUGUGCUGAAAAGGAUACAACGCUUCAAGUAGCUUUAUUGGAGAAGAGAAACGUGGAAAUGAGGUUGCCACUCUUGGUAACCUAGCUGCAGAGAAUAAUGCAAAAAAGGAUUUGAUUGGGAUCAAUAAUCAGGCGUUGCACAAGCUUCAAGAUGAACUGAAACUGCGCAAUGAACGGUUGCAUGCAACCGAAGACAGUAUGAAAAGAUUGACAGA